rnacentral:rRNA from 1 species
GUAAGGAAUAUUGGACAAUGGACGCAAGUCUGAUCCAGCCAUGCCGCGUGAAGGAUUAAGGUCCUCUGGAUUGUAAACUUCUUUUAUAAGGGACGAAAAAAGGCUUUUCUAAGUCGUCUGACGGUACCUUAUGAAUAAGCACCGGCUCACUCCGUGCCAGCAGCCGCGGUAAUACGGAGGGUGCAAGCGUUAUCCGGAUUCACUGGGUUUAAAGGCUGCGUAGGCGGGCAGGUAAGUCAGUGGUGAAAUCCUAGAGCUUAACUCUAGAACUGCCAUUGAUACUAUCUGUCUUGAAUAUUGUGGAGGUAAGCGGAAUAUGUCAUGUAGCGGUGAAAUGCUUAGAUAUGACAUAGAACACCUAUUGCGAAGGCAGCUUACUACGCAUAUAUUGACGCUGAGGCACGAAAGCGUGGGGAUCAAACAGGAUUAGAUACCCCGGUAGUCC